rnacentral:rRNA from 1 species
UACAGAGGUCUCAAGCGUUGUUCGGAUUCAUUGGGCGUAAAGGGUGCGUAGGCGGCGCGGUAAGUCGGAUGUGAAAUCUCGGAGCUUAACUUCGAAACUGCAUUCGAUACUGCCGUGCUUGAGGACUGGAGAGGAGACUGGAAUUUACGGUGUAGCGGUGAAAUGCGUAGAUAUCAGGAGGAACACCAAUGGCGAAGGCAGCUCGCUGGAACGGUACUGACGCUGAGGCGCGAAAGCGUGGGGAGCAAACAGG